UUUAAAACAUUCCCGAAUGAGGCAAUGCGCCAGCAACCUUCAAGCAAUAAGACGAAUCCACAAACAGCAAGAAAAAUAGGGGUGAAAAGUUCAAAACAGGAAGUGUAUAUAAAAAAACAAUAGGUUCGAAUCCUACCUGAACUGCGAAAAUGAGGGUAAAAUAGAUUUUCCGAUCCUUCUCGGUUUGCUCCUUCCUCUCUAAGCUCGCCCUCCCUUCCUGAUUCCUCAACCUUUCCUUUUCUUUUUUCUUUUUUUUUUUCUGGCCGCAGGUGCUAUCUUCCCAGGCAAGCCAUUACCUCCCUUUGUUGUUGCUCACAUCAGCAGCAUGGCUUCCCUGUCUCUUGCAGCUGGUCCCAUGCAUGGAGAAGGGUCCCC
rnacentral:lncRNA from 1 species